ensembl:lncRNA
UUUUUUUUUUUUUUUCGAGACGGAGUUGUGCCUUAUGGCCCAGGCUGGAGUGCAGUGGCGUGAUCUCAGCUCACUGCAACCUCCACCUCCUGGGUUCAAGUGAUUCUCCUGCCUCAGCUUCCCGAGUAGCUGGCAUUACAGGUGAGCACCACCAUGCUCAGGUAAUUUUUGUACUUUUAGUAGAGACGGGGUUUCACCAUGUUGGCCAGGCUGGUCUCGAACUCCUGACUUCAAAUGAUCUGCCCGCCUCGGCCUCCCAAAGUGCUGGAAUUACAGGUGUGAGCCACUGCACUCGGCUGGAGGAGCCUCUUUAUUAUGUGACAUGGGUCUGCAUAAUAAACUGGGAUAAAUUGAGCUUCUGAAUCAAGAAGCUGGGAGAUAUGUGGAAAGUCUUGAGGCAGAAACAGGACCCAAGCACAAAGGCUCUGGUACCCACAGAGAAAGGUCACCAGUGAGCAUCAUGACAGGCACCAGUGGAAGACAGCAGAAGGAGUGUUGAGUGUAAAGCUCCGCAAAGUUUCACUAGAGUUUCAUAAACUCACACAUCGAAUGAGUGACUUGAAGGGAAAUCAAGGAGAAUGAACGAAGUUCCAAUGGGCCAGGGCAGAGCAGAGAAAAGAGAACAGCUGCAGGGAUGGGAGACAAGUGAAACAGAAUUGAGUGAGGCAAAAGCUCAGAGCCAAGGAUAGCAAAGCCCUGAGGAAUUCACAGGAAUCUUGAGAAGGUUACUGGACUUCCUGUAAGACACGGGAUGAAAGGUCCACGCUAAUUUUAUUUAAGUCUCCAAGGACAGCAUGACCUCAGUGGACAUCUGGAUAUGUGUCAGCACUCUAUGCUAGAUGUCUCCUUGGCUCUCAUCACACUUACUGCUAUUUGUUUUAUUUCUGCCUUCUCGCCAGCCUGUAAGCACUGCCUGGUUGGGGGGAAAUCAGUCUUCAUGCUACUACAUCCUGAUGCCUAUCUCAAGCAGGCACAUAAAACAUAUUUACUGAGUGAAUACAUUUUUUUGUCUGAACAGAAUUUAAAGUGUAUUUUAUUUAAUUUUUAAUUUUUGUGGGUACAUGACAUAUACACUUAUGGGUUACAUGAGAUGUUUUGAUUCAAGCAUGCAAUGCAUAAUAAUCACAUCAAGGUAAAUAUGGUAUCCAUACAUCAUUUAUCCUUUGCAUUUCAAGCAAUCCAAUUAUGCUCCUUUAGUUAUUUUUAAAUGUACAAUUAAAUUAUUUUUUACUGUAGUCACCCAAUGGUGCCAACAAAUACUAGAUCUUACUUAUUCUAUUUUUUUGUACCCAAUAACUGUGUCCCCUUUCUCCCAUCCCACCCCAACUACCCUUCCCAGCAUCUGAUAACCAUCCUUCUAUUCUCUAUCUCCAUGAGUUCAAUUGUUUUAAAUUUUAGCUCCCACAGAUAAGUGAGAACAUGUGAUGUUUGUCUUUCUGUGCCUGGCUUAUUUCCUUUACCAUAAUGACCUCCUGUUCCAUCCCUGUUAUUGCAAAUGACAGGAUCUCAUUCUUUUUUUGUGGCUGAAUAGUACUCCAUUGUGUAUAUGUACCACAUUUUCUUUACCUAUUAAUCUGUUGAUGGACAUUUAAGUUGCUUCCAAAUCUUGGCUAUUGUUACGGUGGAUUUUAAAGAGGAACAUAAGACCCUAAAAUAGGAUAUUUC